rnacentral:rRNA from 1 species
AUUGAACGCUGGCGGCAGGCCUAACACAUGCAAGUCGAACGGAGUGGCGGACGGGUGAGUAAUGUCUAGGAAACUGCCUGGUGGUGGGGGAUAACGUCUGGAAACGGGAGCUAAUACCGCAUACUAUCAGAUGAGCCCAGGUCGGAUUAGCUAGUUGGUGGGGUAAAGGCCUACCAAGGCGACGAUCCCUAACUGGUCUGAGAGGAUGAUCAGGCACACUGGAACUGAGACACGGUCCAGACGCCUACGGUAGGCAGCAGUGGGGAAUAUUGGACAAUGGGCGAAAGCCUGAUCCAGCCAUGCCGCGUGUAUGAAGAAGGUCUUCGGAUUGUAAAGUACUUUAAGUUGGGAGGCGUUACCAACAGAAUAAGCACCGGCUAACUUCGUGCCAGCAGCCGCGGUAAUAC